rnacentral:rRNA from 1 species
UACGAAGGGGGGCUAGCGUUGCUCGGAAUCACUGGGCGUAAAGGGUGCGUAGGCGGGUCUUUUAAGUCAGGGGUGAAAUCCUGGAGCUCAACUCCAGAACUGCCUUUGAUACUGAAGAUCUUGAGUUCGGGAGAGGUGAGUGGAACUGCGAGUGUAGAGGUGAAAUUCGUAGAUAUUCGCAAGAACACCAGUGGCGAAGGCGGCUCACUGGCCCGUUACUGACGCUGAGGCACGAAAGCGUGGGGAGCAAACAGG